rnacentral:tRNA from 1 species
GGAAGGGUGCCCGAGUGGUUUAAGGGAACAGUCUUGAAAACUGUCGUGGAUGAAAGUUCACCGUGAGUUCGAAUCUCACUGCCUUUACGGGUACCGGGGGUUCGAAUCCCUCUCUCUCCG